rnacentral:lncRNA from 1 species
GAGCUUUGCUGCAGAACAUGUGCCUCGGGCAAAACACAAAGAGACACCUCUCUAUAUCCUCUGCACAGCCGGGAUGAGAGUCCUUCCUGAAAGCCAGCAGAAAGCCAUCCUGGAGGAUCUCCUGACCGACAUCCCUGUGCACUAUGACUUCUUGUUUUCUGACUCCCAUGCCGAAGUCAUCUCAGGAAAACAGGAAGGUUGGUAUCAGACCAUCAGUUUGAAGUGUCAGAAGCAGUGCCUUCAGAGCCUCCCUCCACGUUGUGCAAUAUAUUGAAUCACUAGAGACCAUAGCCUUGAGAUACUCUUCAAAGACUAAGUUAGUCUCUUAGAUGACUGGUCUUUAUUGUACAGCCCUAAAACUGUUAAACAUAACUCAUCUGAGUUUAGCAUAAUUAGGGAAUAUAUAUUGAACAGGCUGAGGGAGGAAGUCUGUGUCCUUGCCCAGCUGAACUUACUUCUACCAAGGAAAUUGGAAUUCUUGUCUUUGAUGAACUGAGAAAAUAUUAGUUCUGUUUUAGAGAAGUUAUUCCACUUGAGUGAGAAACAACCAUUCAGUGAAAUGGUAUUCUAGGAGCAGAGACCUAAAUGUAUGCUAUCUGUUCCUCUGUCACCCACCGUCAAGCCAGGGUUCCUGGGGAAAUGCACUGGGAAACAGACUUGGGUAGUUGAGCCAGGAACUCCUUACAGACAAGUACAGCCCUUAGAAUUGUAAGCGGUCAUUUUCAGCACCCAAAGGACGUGGGAAAAUACCCUGGGAAUAUGAAAGAGA